AAUCUUGCGCAAUGGGCGAAAGCCUGACGCAGCCAUGCCGCGUGAAUGAUGAAGGNCUNNGGAUUNUNAAAUACUUUCACUGGNNNNNAUAAUGACGGUCCCCGGAGAAGAAGACCCGGCUAACUUCGUGCCAGCAGCCGCGGUAAUACGAAGGGGGCUAGCGUUGCUCGGAAUUACUGGGCGUAAAGGGCGCGUAGGCGGAUCGUUAAGUCAGAGGUGAAAUCCCAGGGCUCAACCCUGGAACUGCCUUUGAUACUGGCGAUCUUGAGUAUGAGAGAGGUAUGUGGAACUCCGAGUGUAGAGGUGAAAUUCGUAGAUAUUCGGAAGAACACCAGUGGCGAAGGCGACAUACUGGCUCAUUACUGACGCUGAGGCGCGAAAGCGUGGGGAGCAAACAG
rnacentral:rRNA from 1 species